rnacentral:rRNA from 1 species
UACGUAGGCAGCAAGCGUUGUUCGGAGUUACUGGGCGUAAAGGGUGUGUAGGCGGUUUUACAGGUCCGCUGUGAAAACUCGAGGCUCAACCUCGAGCUGUCGGUGGAAACUGUAAGGCUAGAGUCCGGAAGAGGAGAGUGGAAUUCCUGGUGUAGCGGUGAAAUGCGCAGAUAUCAGGAAGAACACCCGUGGCGAAGGCGGCUCUCUGGGACGGUACUGACGCUGAGACGCGAAAGCGUGGGGAGCGAACAGG